GACGAACCGAGCGAACGUUGUUCGGAAUCACUGGGCUUAAAGGGCGCGUAGGCGGGCUGUCAAGUCUGGGGUGAAAUCCCGCGGCUCAACCGUGGAACUGCCUUAGAUACUGUCGGCCUCGAGGGAGAUAGGGGCGAGCGGAACUGUGAGUGGAGCGGUGAAAUGCGUUGAUAUUCACAGGAACUCCGGUGGCGAAGGCGGCUCGCUGGAUCUCUUCUGACGCUGAGGCGCGAAAGCUAGGGGAGCAAACGGG
rnacentral:rRNA from 1 species